AUUGAACGCUGGCGGCAGGCCUAACACAUGCAAGUCGAGCGAGCGGCGGACGGGUGAGUAAUGUCUGGGAAACUGCCUGAUGGAGGGGGAUAACUACUGGAAACGGUAGCUAAUACCGCAUACCAUCAGAUGUGCCCAGAUGGGAUUAGCUAGUAGGUGGGGUAACGGCUCACCUAGGCGACGCUCCCUAGCUCGUCUGCAAGGAUGACCAGCCACACUGGAACGGAGAAACGGUCCAGACUCCUACGGGAGGCAGCAGUGGGGAAUAGUGCACAAGGGGCGCAAGCCUGAUGCAGCCAUGCCGCGUGUGUGAAGAAGGACUUCGGGUUGUAAAGCACUUUCAGCGGGGAGGCGUUACCCGCAGAAGAAGCACCGGCUAACUCCGUGCCAGCCGCCGCGGUAAUAC
rnacentral:rRNA from 1 species